CCAUCUCUCUUUCUUCAUAAGGCUCCUCCCUUUCUCUCUCCACCUUUUUCUUCCCACUCUCUUGCUUCUUCCUUCUUGCCGGCUCAUGAUCGGCACGCAUACCAUGUGUUGGUAUGAUAUAGUAUGAUACCAUAAUGAUUCGAUAUAUGACCGAUAUAGGUCACAAUACUAGUUUUGCUAACCUUAGUGCAGAUUCAUGCCAGUCCC
rnacentral:lncRNA from 1 species